rnacentral:rRNA from 1 species
UUCAGGGGUAAACCUGAGAAGCCCGAAAGGUCGAAUGGGGAAAUUCAUUCGCGUUUCGGCAGUCGGCGUUGGAUGGUCGCGUGACGGAUGGCGUACGCGUCGUCCGCGCCUUCCGUUCAUCGAACCGGCGUCGAACGCGUGCACUUUUCCCCUAGUAGGACGUCGCGAUCCGUUGGGUGUCGGUCUACGGCUCACGGUGGAGACCGUGCGGUCGCUUCGGCGUAUCGCACGGACCCGUGGUGUCCCGGCCGACUCGCUCGACGGUAUACAGAAGGCGCGAGGCCGCUACACAGUUAGCGUUCGGCCUGCGGCAAGCGCGUUCGUUAUUUGAUGGCAAUCGGACCUGGUGCCGGUGCUGUCUGCGAGCGACUGUUGGCCGUAGUGUUCUCGAACAGACCUCGUUUGAAACGCCGAUCUGCGACGCUAUAGCUUUGGGUACUUUCAGGACCCACGGACCAAGGAGUCUAGCAUGUGCGCGAGUCAUUGGGACAUAACUAAACCUAAAGGCGUAAUGAAAGUGAAGGUCCGCCUUGCGCGGAUCGAGGGAGGAUGGGUGGUUCGCCCUUAAAAGUGGCCACUCCGCACUCCCGGGGCGUCUCGUUCUCAUCGCGAGAAGAGGCGCACCAAGAGC